rnacentral:rRNA from 1 species
UACGUAGGGGGCAAGCGUUUGUCCGGAUUUAUUGGGCGUAAAGAGCGUGUAGGCGGCUAGGUAGGUCCGUUGUGAAAACUCGAGGCUCAACCUCGAGACGUCGAUGGAAACCAUCUAGCUAGAGUCCGGAAGAGGAGAGUGGAAUUCCUGGUGUAGCGGUGAAAUGCGCAGAUAUCAGGAAGAACACCCGUGGCGAAGGCGGCUCUCUGGUACGUGACUGACGCUGAGACGCGAAAGCGUGGGGAGCGAACAGG